GACGAACGCUGGCGGCGUGCUUAACACAUGCAAGUCGAACGGAAAGGCCCCUUUGGGGGUACUCGAGUGGCGAACGGGUGAGUAACACGUGAGUAACCUGCCCUUGACUUCGGGAUAACUUCAGGAAACUGGGGCUAAUACCGGAUAGGAAUCCUUGCUGCAUGGUGGGGGUUGGAAAGCUUCGGCGGUUUUGGAUGGACUCGCGGCUUAUCAGCUUGUUGGUGGGGUAGUGGCUUACCAAGGCUUUGACGGGUAGCCGGCCUGAGAGGGCGACCGGCCACAUUGGGACUGAGAUACGGCCCAGACGCCUACGGGAGGCAGCAGUGGGGAAUAUUGCACAAUGGGCGGAAGCCUGAUGCAGCAACGCCGCGGGCGGGAGGACGGCCUUCGGGUUGUAAACCGCGUUCAGCAGGGGCGAAGCUUGUGGUGACGGUACCUGCAGAAGAAGCACCGGCUAACUACGUG
rnacentral:rRNA from 1 species